rnacentral:sRNA from 1 species
CAGCAGCAGCAGCGGCGGCAGCGGCAGUGCCGACAGCGAGAACGGUAAACAUUUAAGCGCUUGCUGUGCGUUCGUUGCUCGGUUUGGGUUUCAGUUACGGUUUCGGUUCCACUUCCAUUCCGUUUCGUAUUGUAAGUGACGCGUCGUACUGUUUACAUGCCGUUACCGUUAUUAUCGCAGCGUUGUUGUGGAACGUGCGUGUGUUCGCGCUUCUACCACAAACAAAUAAUGUGCAUAAAAACAAGCAACAGCCAUUAAAUAUUAGCCAAAUCAAAUAAGAGAAACGUAAAAAAGUUAUCAGAAAUCAAUGCGAUAAGCGGUUAAAGCGGGAAACGCCGCAGCAACAGCAACAGCAACAACAACAACAGCAGCAGCAGUAGCAGCAGCAGCAGCAGCAGCAGUAGCUG